rnacentral:piRNA from 1 species
UGUGGUUUUUAUGGUCCUCUUCAGUU